rnacentral:rRNA from 1 species
GACGAACGCUGGCGGCGUGCUUAACACAUGCAAGUCGAACGGAAAGGCCCUGCUCUUGUGGGGUGCUCGAGUGGCGAACGGGUGAGUAACACGUGAGUAACCUGCCCCUGACUUUGGGACAACUUCAGGAAACUGGGGCUAAUACCGGAUAGGAGCUCCUGCUGCAUGGUGGGGGUUGGAAAGUUUCGGCGGUUGGGGAUGGACUCGCGGCUUAUCAGCUUGUUGGUGGGGUAGUGGCUUACCAAGGCUUUGACGGGUAGCCGGCCUGAGAGGGUGACCGGCCACAUUGGGACUGAGAUACGGCCCAGUCUCCUACGUGAGGCAGCAGUGGGGAAUAUUGCACAGUGGGCGGAAGCCUGAUGCAGCAACGCCGCGUGCGGGAUGACGGCCUUCGGGUUGUAAACCGCUUUCGCCUGUGACGAAGCGUGAGUGACGGUAAUGGGUAAAGAAGCACCGGCUAACUACGUG